rnacentral:rRNA from 1 species
UACAGAGGUCUCAAGCGUUGUUCGGAUUCAUUGGGCGUAAAGGGUGCGUAGGUGGCGGGGUAAGUCUGGUGUGAAAUCUCGGGGCUCAACCCCGAAACUGCACUGGAUACUGCCUUGCUAGAGUACUGGAGAGGAGAUUGGAAUUUACGGUGUAGCAGUGAAAUGCGUAGAUAUCGUAAGGAAGACCAGGGGCGAAGGCGAAUCUCUGGACAGUUACUGACACUGAGGCACGAAGGCCAGGGGAGCAAACGGG